UUGCGUCUCAGCCUUUUGGGCUAAAAUCAAGUGUAGAAU
rnacentral:snRNA from 1 species